CUGGGUCAAAAUACAGCAAAUUUCCCCACCAGCUGAGGAGAAGCACAGGUCUGCAGGCAGCUGGAAGUGCGCCUGGCUUCUCAGCCCCACUCACUUGGCCUCAGUACAGCCCCUGUCUCCCCCAGCCCACCCAGCCUCGCAUGGUCCGUGCUGCACUUUCUCUACAGCUUAAAUUCCACCUGGAGCCUCAUCCUCGGGGAGCCUUUUUGCCCGACAGCAGCCUUCCUCUGAGUCCAGCUGCCUCCACCUCCCACCAGCCUCAACCUCCAGACUGGAGAGAAAACUACUCUGCCAGAAACUCUGCAUCGCCCCCUGACAGUGGCAGCCCUGUGCCCUAGAAAGAGCAUGAGCUUGGGGGUCAGGCAGUUCAAUCCUGACCCAGUAAGAAGAUCUCUGAGACUGUUUCCUCAUCUGUAAAAUUGUGAUGACAGGAAUCCUCCUGGUGGGGCUGCACUAAACUGGAUCACCUCGCCCUGUCUUCAAGUCGGUAUGUGCUGAUGUUCCCAGUGUCUGUCUGCAGACGUUCAGCCCUGACUCGCUAUGGAAGCCACCCGUAACGGAGCAGAGGACUCCUCACCCAUCUUCUACCUGGCCCUGGACAUCGUCUCCACUACAACCACUGUCCCCAAGAUGCUGUCCCUACUCUUGCUUGGG